rnacentral:rRNA from 1 species
AUUGAACGCUGGCGGCAUGCUUUACGCAUGCAAGUCGAACGGUAACAGGCCGCAAGGUGCUGACGAGUGGCGAACGGGUGAGUAAUGCAUCGGAACGUGCCCAGUCGUGGGGGAUAACUACUCGAAAGAGUAGCUAAUACCGCAUACGAUCUAUGGAUGAAAGCGGGGGACCGUAAGGCCUCGCACGAUUGGAGCGGCCGAUGUCAGAUUAGGUAGUUGGUGGGGUAAAGGCUCACCAAGCCAACGAUCUGUAGCUGGUCUGAGAGGACGACCAGCCACACUGGGACUGAGACACGGCCCAGACUCCUACGGGAGGCAGCAGUGGGGAAUUUUGGACAAUGGGCGCAAGCCUGAUCCAGCAAUGCCGCGUGCAGGAAGAAGGCCUUCGGGUUGUAAACUGCUUUUGUACGGAACGAAACGGCUCUGGUUAAUACCCGGGGCUAAUGGCGGUACCGUAAGAAUAAGCACCGGCUAACUACGUG